GGCUUGUGUGAGUUUUUGUUUAACUGGUAACCAAAGACUAAAAGUUAAGUACAAAAAUAAAGCCUCCUUUGAUAUACAGAACUCAUGGUUCAGCAUGAGUUUUGAUAUGCAUGAUAAAAAAUAUG